GAUGAACGCUAGCGGAAGGCUUAAUACAUGCAAGUCGAGCGGUAGGUGGCUUCGGCCAUUGAGAGCGGCGCACGGGUGAGUAACGCGUACAUGACCUGCCUGUCAGAAGGGGAUAGCCCUGGGAAACUGGGAUUAAUACCCUAUGGUAUUGAUAUUAUGAAUGAUAUCAAUUAAAGUUGAGGCGCUGACAGAUGGAUGUGCGUCUGAUUAGCUAGUUGGUAGGGUAACGGCCUACCAAGGCGACGAUCAGUAGGGGGCGUGAGAGCGUGGUCCCCCACACGGGUACUGAGACACGGACCCGACUCCUACGGGAGGCAGCAGUAAGGAAUAUUGGUCAAUGCCCGCAAGGGUGAACCCAGCCAUUCCGCGUGGAGGAUGAAGGCCCUAUGGGUUGUAAACUUCUUUUAGAUGGGAAGAAAAUGCUAGAUGUAUCUGGUACUGACGGUACCAUCAGAAUAAGCACCGGCUAACUCCGUGCCAGCAGCCGCGGUAAU
rnacentral:rRNA from 1 species